rnacentral:tRNA from 1 species
UCCCUGGCAGUCUAGUGGUUAAGACUCCGCACUUCCAAUGCAGGGGCGAGGUUCUAUCCCUGGUCAGGGAA